rnacentral:lncRNA from 1 species
AAAAAAAAAUCAAUACUACUAAUACACUUAAAAAAUAAGGCCUAAAUUUUAUAUCUCCUUUUUCUUAAAAAAAAAUAAUAAUUUACAAUCUCUCCAUCGGCCAUUCAAGUUCCCUUUUUUUUCACUAUUCUAAUCAAUUUCCUUUUGAAAUAUUAACAAUUAAAAAAAAUACCUACAUUUUUAAAUUAAAAAAAAUAAAAAUUUAUUUUUAUUUUUU